rnacentral:lncRNA from 1 species
GAUGAUCACUGUGCUUGAAAACUAUAUUGGUUCAAAGGCAGGCAAGUCUCCUUGGCUCUUUUAGGAAUAAAAAGACCAGCUUAGACCAACAUUUAAUUAUGCAGUAGAGUUAUAGGUCAAAUUGAUUGGGCUGUAGAAUGAGAAAGUAUUUUGAAGAAUGAUGUGCUGAUGAUCUGUCAGUAUUUGGGACUAAAGUGAGAAUCAGGUAGACAAAAUCAAGUGGCCAUUUGUUUAAUCAGACGUGACCUUUAUUAAAACAGAGCUCUUUGAAUUAAAUUAGUUAUUGGUCAUCUGGUAAUAGCUUUCUUUAUGUCUGAGAAUUUGGUAAAUCUCAUCUAGAAUGCUAAUUCUAUCCUUCCACCUUUUCCUCUGAGACAUUUGCAUUUAAUAAUGACUUUUAAAAUUGUUUUUAAAUUUAGGACAGAGCCCUCUUUUUGCGGGGUUAUCUUUUAAUUUCUGCACUGAAAUAUGUAAAUACUACUUUCAGAGAGAAAGCAGUAGGAGAAGUGAGUGCUUUAGGUAGAAUCAGAUCCAUUGCCUUCAAACAGAAGAAUAAAGUACUCUGCUCGAGUAGCAAGGUAGCAUCAGAAAAUUGAACUUUUCUCUAUUUCAGAAGGUUUUUAGAAGUAAUGCAUUUAACAUCUAGGCUUGCCAAGCCAGUGAAAAGGGCUUUAAACUAAAGUUGCUGGGGAAGGGGGAACCUCAGUGCAGCGCACUCCUACCAGUUUAUGCCAGCGCCAGUGAGAGAUUCCAGAGCCUGGAAAAGUGUUGCAGCUCAGCAGGAGAGCUCCUAAAUAGCAGCAGAAAUGAAUUCCAGCCACUCCCGCCAGUAAGUUGACUUCAUCAGGGGCCCAGCUUAAAUGCUUCAAUGCAAACACACGUAACAUGGGGAAUAAAUGGGGAAUUAGAGAUGUACCCACACCUGCAGGACUGUGAUCUCAUUGGCAUCACAGAGAUGUGGUGGGAUGGCUCCUACGACUGGAGUGUUUGAACACAAGGAUGCAGGCUUCUGUAGGAAGCUUCUCUCCUAUGAAGAGAAGCUGAGAGAGUUGGGCUUGUUCAUCCUGAAGAAGAGAAGGCUCUGGGCAGACCUUGUAGCAACCUUCCAUUACUUAAAGAGGGUCUACAAAAAAUCUGAAGAGGGACUCUUUACAGGGGCAUGUAGUGACAGGACAAAGGUAAUGGCUUUAAACUGACAGAGGGUAGAUUUAGAUUAGAUAUGUGGCAUUCUGGUUAUUUUGGAUCACAUGGGAGAUAUGUGGCUCUCCAUAGGAUCUGCGUGGGCAGCUGUUUAGGCCUCUGAGAACACGGACUUCAGAUACAUUAGAGCUUUUUGGUAACGUCAUGUCGUAUGCUAUAGCCAUAACCUGGAAGCUUGUAUUUACCAUUUCAUGUGCAAAUUACAGCCAUUCAAUCAGUCAUUCUUCUCACUUUUUGGGUUAAUAACUUCCCUUGUUUUAAGGAAGGUGAUUCUGAGUUUGCCUUGAGUUGCUGACUGCCCAAAGGUCUAGUAGUUUUAGGCUCAGCUUUGAAGAAACUUGAGGAAGUGCAAAGUUACUGUUGUCACUGUAAGCGCAGGCUGCAAAGAUGCCUUGAUAAACUGGUAAGGAAAUGAAUAUACAAGGGUAGAAGGGAUUACAAAUAGAGAUAGGAGGAUUAGGCUGUGAACUAGCAGCAAGACUUGCUGUAAAAAUGUAGCUUCAGGCUUUUGUUUAUUAUUUGGAGAAAUUCUAUUUAAAUGCAGAUUAGAUUUUCUACCUAGAAGUACAACUUAUUCUUUGUUUAGAAACUCUACAAAGACGAAUGAAUACAGAGUGUUCUUGUUUUCAUUUCUUCAUGAACUUUGACAAUCACGUUGCUUAUCCUGUUAUCUGGAUUAGAUAUGCAAGCUGUGGAUAUAGGAGUUUUAACAGUUUGUUUAGAGACCUCAGUUUAAUUAAUCAGUGUAAGAUUACCAAAUUGCCUUGGGAUGAAAAACUGCGCCUGAGAAGUUGUAAUUGGCUGCUGACUAAACAGAAGGCCCCAGCUCCGCAUAGGGUGUUUGGGAGGGAGGGAGGCAGGGCAAAGGCAGGGGAAAGAAAAGGAAAUAAUAAGAAACAAGCAAUAAAUUAGACAAAUAUUGAUUUUUUUUUUUUUUUUGUGAACAGAAGUAUUUUCAUUCUGCAUAGAACUUAACCUUUUUGUAUUGCUAUACAUGCUGUAAUCAAUCACCUCUUCAAAUAACAUUUCACCUUUCUUAGAAAUAAAAAUGAAUUUAAAAUAAUUCUUUAUCAAUUCUGCUGGGUUUAUGGAAAGUAGUCUGAAAAGGCUUAACUUUAAAUAAAAUACCAAAUACUCAAAAAUUUUUCUCCUGCAUAUUGCAGGCUUACUUACCAUAACAGCAUCAAUAAAAUAUAGCUAAGGGAAACAUCCCAAUCACUUCCCAUGGGUUUAUUUUUCUUCCUUUAUCCAUUCUGCUUGCAUUGCCACCAGCAUCUCCAGUGAUCCUUACUGAUCUUCUCAGAAUUAUGAUAACAUGCAAAACAACUUUUUGCUAAUCAUCUUGGCUCUCUCAACUAAACACCCCCCAAAAAAUAAACCUGGAACAAAAAAACCCCCAAAAACCCAAAAACAAUGCCAAAAUCAAAACACUGUUUUCAAGGGGGGUUUUUGUUUUACCUUUUGCUUCUACCCCAACAUAAUUUGCGGGUUAUUCGCCAUGUUCUGUGACAGAAGUUCCACACAAUGAUUGGCAUGAACUGUCACUAGGAUUCAUGGACAGAAGCACUUGAAUUCAAAUAUGUUUCAGGAUCCAAGAUUUUGACCUGAUUUUAGAAAAGUAAGAGUAGUUUGAGGUCUUUGGAUAUAAAAGUUGACUUUUGUUGGGUUUUGUCUAAUAUAUGAGAAAAAGGCCACAUUUGGCUGGCUGGGAAUCAGAUAUGUUCGCUAAGAUCUACUUCACUAGCCAUUUAGCAUGAUCAGUAAUUUUGUAUUGAUCAUUUAGCAUGGAAAUAACAUGCAAAUGCAAUGGAUUUAAUGUGAUGUUAUGGUAAUGGCAUACCAUUUAGCAAGAUAAUAUUUUAGUAUUAUCAGGUUCAUAAAAGCUUGUCAGUUGAGAAUAUAAUGAAGAUUUCUCAGUGUACUACGUAACUUUGGUAUGAAGAAAUAAAAGAUCAAGCCUUUCCUUAAAGGCGGUUGAUGAAACUUUUUGCCUCAUACUAGAUACAUUUUAGGUGCCCUGUCUUUUUUUGUUCCUUUAUUUCUUUUUAAUGGAAAAGCUAAAGCUAUAACUAAUAUAAGAUGAUGAUUAUUCAGGAGAUAAAGAACCCUAGGCCAAUAAUUUACAGAAAGUAACAUUCUUAAGAGCUCACACAAUCCCAUUCAAGAUUUUGGGACCAUUUUAAAAUCUGAAUUUAAGCAAAACUUUUCUGUGCCUCCUCUUCAGCAAGCCAAAUGUUUGCCUUCAUCCAUUUUUGUUAAUAUGAUGAGCUCUCCAUAAAAUAAGUCAGAAAAAUGGAUCUGUAAUGAACCAUGCAUGACUGGUGACAGAAGAUGGUAUAUAUUUCAGAGAAGUAAUGAAUCACAUGGUUAGCAGUGAAUGAACAUGUUGGAUUCUGCUAUCAAACAGGGUCAGUGGACAAACUGAAAGGCAGUUAUUAGAACAGCUUAUUUUUCCUUUAAUAUAUCAUUUCACAGUUGCUUGUGCUCUUAGGCUACAUCAGAUAUUUAUAUUCUUUUUCAAUAGUUUCUUGUAACAUUCUAUUAUUUGAUUGGAAUACAGCAAUUAUUAGCUUUGAUUUGAAUAUGUACUAGAAACUAUGUGCUUCAGGCAAUUUCUUAAUACUUAUUUUCUCUUUUUGGCAUGUCUACAUGUGUGCACUACCAUUUCAGGCUAGUUGGCAGGACCAGCAAAAGUUAUGAGCUCUAACUUCAGCUGUGUUUAAGUUGUUAAGAUUUUGAAACAGGUUUCUUUGUGGGAGGAAGAGAGAAGCUUACAUCUAGGAGGCUUACUGUGAGGCUGUGGAAUUUCUGAAGCCCAAUUGUAUCUAAAAAUCUUUGGACAAAUGGCCUUUCUAGUGGGUACUUGGGGCUCAGAUUAGAAAAUACAGUUUUCUGAACAGACCUCUGGGGUAGCCAGCAAAUUGUUGCUUGUGAAGAUGAAACCUUGUAAUGAAAAGUCUGGCACUAAAACCUGAUAAACCAGAACUCUUUUAGAGUACGUCUUGCUUCCCCGCUUUCCCCCCCACCCUUUUCAUGAAAGGAAAGAUAGUAAUAUCUGCUAUUUUUCUGCUUUUCUCUGCAUUACAAGGAUAUGACACUUCAGAACUUUGAUUCUUCAAGUUGACAUAAGAAUAGGGGCCAACUGUGAAACUCUUUUGUUAUGUGAUAAGAGUUAGAUACCCCUGCCUCUCCUCCCCUCCUUUGUAGCUGUCCUCAAGCCCAUUUACACUCUCUGUUACAUAAUCAUAUUGAUAUAAUCUAUACUAACAUGAAAUGGCAAGCGCUAACCCAUUUUUUGUAUGCUGCUUAGUUCCUCUGUAUCUGCAACAUAGACUUUCUAGAGAAAAGGGGUGUAAGUUUAUCCAAGGAAAUUCGAGUGUUGAAUUGCAGUAAUAUGGAUGCAGCUUAAAUGCUUCUCCACAGCCACAGAAAAGCUGCAGAGUUGCUACCCUGAGCUCCCUGUUGCUAUAGCCAUAAUGGUAGUUAUGCCUGAGCUGACUUGGGUAUAACAAAUUGAGCUGAGCAUAUUGUGCUGACUGCAGAAUAGACCUCUGUGUUACUGUACAUAGCUGUACAUAGCCCUUCUGAAUUAAUUCUGAACUUUCUGCCAUUUGUAUGAUAAUAAUUUGUUAAGAUUUACAUUUCCGUAGAUGAUGAUUGUAUUGGAACUAGAAAAAGAGAGCAGAUUUCCUGGUAUCAAAAGUAUUUUAUACUUACUUCUGCAUUAGCUGUCUUUCUACUUGGCUCGUUCCCUAAGGAAAUAAGUAUUUAACUUUGCUGUAUAGAAACUGUAGCCUGUCUAUAGUGUUUAAGUAGGAAAGCUUACAACCCAUGUCAGAAACAUACAGGAAAAAAA